GACUCUCGGCAACGGAUAUCUCGGCUCUUGCUCGAAGAAGAACGUAGCGAAAUGGGAUACUUGGUGUGAAUUGCAGAAUCCCGUGAACCAUCGAGUCUUUGAACGCAAGUUGCGCCUGAAGCCAUUAGGCUGAGGGCAUGCCUGCCUGGGUGUGCCCAUUG
rnacentral:rRNA from 1 species